GAGGAUAUAGUUUAGUGGUAGAGUGCAUAUUUAGCAUGCAUGAGGUCCUGGGUUCAAUCCUCAGUACCUCU
rnacentral:tRNA from 1 species